rnacentral:rRNA from 1 species
GACGAACGCUGGCGGCGUGCCUAAUACAUGCAAGUCGAACGAGAGCGACCGGUGCUUGCACUGCUCAAUCUAGUGGCGAACGGGUGAGUAACACGUGGGUAACCUGCCCAUCAGAGGGGGAUAACAUUCGGAAACGGAUGCUAAAACCGCAUAGGUCUUCGAACCGCAUGGUUUGAAGAGGAAAAGAGGCGCAAGCUUCUGCUGAUGGAUGGACCCGCGGUGCAUUAGCUAGUUGGUGAGGUAACGGCUCACCAAGGCCGUGAUGCAUAGCCGACCUGAGAGGGUGAUCGGCCACAUUGGAACUGAGACACGGCCCAAACUCCUACGGGAGGCAGCAGUAGGGAAUCUUCCGCAAUGGGCGCAAGUCUGACGGAGCAACGCCGCGUGAGUGAAGAAGGUUCUCGGAUCGUAAAACUCUGUUGUUAGGGAAGAAUAAGUGCUAGAGUAACUGUUAGCGCCUUGACGGUAUCUAACCAGAAAGCCACGGCUAACUACGUG